UACGAAGGGGGCUAGCGUUGCUCGGAAUCACUGGGCGUAAAGCGCCCGCAGGCGGUCCGCUCAGUUUGCGCUGACAGCUCCUGGCUUAACUGGGAGAGCGGUGCGAAGACGGGCGGACUGAGAGGACCAGAGAGGGACAUGGAACUCCGGGUGUAGUGGUGAAAUGCGUAGAUAUUGGGAGGAAUACCAGUGGCGAAGGCGGCUCUCUGGACCGGUACUGACGCUGAGGCGCGAAAGCGUGGGUAGCAAACAGG
rnacentral:rRNA from 1 species